GGAAACGAUAAAGCCUCGGGCCGUCAGGCUCGGGUUGGUUCUUCUUCUUCAUCGCCAUUGCUGCUGCUCGCUGCUUCUCUCUGGUCGCGAGCGCUGUCAGAUUCACCAAGAAACUCCUUUCUCCUGUGCAAUUUCUCCUCAGUUUCUCGGUUCGAGAUGUUUGAUCUGUAGAGUGGGGCAGCGCAGAGGUGGGAGGCAGUGUGUGUGAUUGGGGGCGGAAACUGGGAGGAGGGGUAGGGGGAGGAAGGCCGAUUUGAUGCGUGGCUCCGGCGAGGCCGUCGCCGUUGCUCGAGACGUCGCGUCGUCGAGCCCAGCGAAACCCCCAUCGGCAUUGGACAUGAUGAGGUAGGGCUUGGAAUCUCGCAAUCCUUUUGAUGCGUUCGUCGCUGCCGUUGAAAAUUUCUGCUGCGGUGUUUCGUUCGAGAGAUCAAGGUGUGAUUUUUUUUUCUUCCUCUCGAUUCGUUCUGUUUGUGUCGCUUCGGCUCUCGCCGGCCGAUUUAGGCAAGUUAGUUCUAUCCUUUUUCUUUCUCAUCGUCGGUUUUGUGUUCGUUUCCUUGCCGUCUUGAUUUCCUGGUUUCACAAAAGGCAUCCUUUGAUCUGUGUUUGUCCAUUUGUCUGGUCGAAUUCUUCACUUUCGGUCGCUUCUAUCGUCGUUGAAGUAAAUUCGUUGCCUUUUUCCCCAUUUCAUGGCUACUUUGACUGGUUUCUGAGUAACCAAUCGAUUUCGUUUUGUUCUUGUUCUUCGUCGGCUCCGUGCUGCUGGAGAUGAAAGUGCUCAUGGCUGACGAUUUUUCGUUUCUCGAGUGAUUGUUUCACAUCUCGACGAUUUUCAUCGGGAUUUCGAGUUUGUGUGGUGUGCUGGUUUGCGUCGAACAGAUCUCUGAAUCGUUAGUUGGGUAUUCGAUUUCGCGGUUUGUAGACUGGGGGGUGUUCUAGUGUUUUUUCUGUCUCGAAUUCUCGCCAAAAGGAGAGUUUUUGCUGUUCGUUUCGUCCUCCAUUCUGAAAGGACGACCUUGUUCUUGUCUGAUCCAAUCGCUCUUGCGUUUUUGUGGCUGUUUUGAUUUUGCUGCAGAUUUCAGAGAGUCGGUCCGGAUUGUCUCCCGCUCCCCAAUGGCAGCGGCGGCAGCGGGAGCCGGAAGCCGACGGCGGCGACCAGAUCGAGCAAGGACGACGACUCCCCGGCCGCCGCCAGCGACAGCAAGGGCAUCGGACCGUACCUCGCUAGCGCAUCGGCGUCGGUCGAGUCUAAGCCGCGCACUCGAGCUCCGCCGCCGCCGCAGCCUCCACAGGCGGN
rnacentral:lncRNA from 1 species